rnacentral:rRNA from 1 species
CCUACGGGGUGCAGCAGUGAGGAAUAUUGGUCAAUGGGCGUAAGCCUGAACCAGCCAAGUCGCGUGAGGGAUGAAGGUUCUAUGGAUCGUAAACCUCUUUUAUAAGGGAAUAAAGUGCGGGACGUGUCCCGUUUUGUAUGUACCUUAUGAAUAAGGAUCGGCUAACUCCGUGCCAGCAGCCGCGGUAAUACGGAGGAUCCGAGCGUUAUCCGGAUUUAUUGGGUUUAAAGGGUGCGUAGGCGGCCUUUUAAGUCAGCGGGGAAAGUCGGUGGCUCAACCAUAGAAUUGCCGUUGAAACUGGGAGGCUUGAGUGUGUUUGAGGCAGGCGGAAUGCGUGGUGUAGCGGUGAAAUGCUUAGAUAUCACGCAGAACCCCGAUUGCGAAGGCAGCCUGCCAAGCCAUGACUGACGCUGAUGCACGAAAGCGUGGGGAUCAAACAGGAUUAGAUACCCCAGUAGUC